GCCUGCCCAGUGACAAUAGUUUAACGGCCGCGGUAUUUUGACCGUGCAAAGGUAGCGCAAUCACUCGUCCUUUAAAUAGGGACCUGUAUGAAUGGCUAAACGAGGGCUUAACUGUCUCCCCACUCAAGUCAGUGAAAUUGAUUUACCCGUGCAGAAGCGGGUAUGAUAAUACAAGACGAGAAGACCCUUUGGAGCUUAAGGUACAAGGUUUAAAUUAUACUAAGCUAGCAAUAAAAGUGACAAACCUAAUGAUAAAUAAACCUCUACCUUCGGUUGGGGCGACCACGGAGUAAAAAAUAACCUCCAAGCGGAGCGGGUAAAACCCUAAAACCAAGAGAAACAUCUCUAAGCCUCAGAACAUCUGACCAAAACGAUCCGGCCUAAAACCGAUCAACGAACCAAGUUACCCUAGGGAUAACAGCGCAAUCCUCUUUAAGAGUCCAUAUCGACAAGGGGGUUUACGACCUCGAUGUUGGAUCAGGACAUCCUAAUGGUGCAGCCGCUAUUAAGGG
rnacentral:rRNA from 1 species